AAAUUGCAGCUGAAGAGAUUGAUGAUGAGUCCAUUGAAUCAGAGUUAUUAAAAAAAGAUAAUCUGCAGUGGAUUUUACCGGUUUUUCAACUAAAAUACACUAAUGAGUCAUCUAGUCUGUAUCAAUAUGUCUUCAAAUGUCAGGGAAUAUUAGUCAAACCUGAUGCAGCUCUUACCGCCCGUCUUUGUAUUGAAAAUACAGAAUCAUACGCUAUCGGGAUUUUCUAUGGAACCUCAAGUACAGAUGGAUUGACUAAAUCUCUAUAUCAUCUUCGAAAAAGUAUCUCAGAUUAUGAUAGCACUUCCUACGAAGCAGGAUCCUUUGUUCGUACUGUGCAUGGCGUUCAAUCUUCAGGCAAAAUAACUAUACGAGGUAUAAGUAUUUUGUUCCUCAAAUCACCAAUUAAUAGUAUCAAUCCUAUUACGAUAAAUAAUUCACCAACAAUAAAUGAUAUUUAUAAAAAUAUAAACAAACGCAAGUGCUUACGUAUUUCAAUUA